CAACAACCUGUUUGGAUGAAGCCUACUGGAGAAUGGACUGUCACUGCUCUGGAAAAGCCAAUUUCGAGGUUUCCUAUAGAGCUGUUCAAGGGCCUACAGAUUUAACUGGGACUGCAGGCUCAUACGAUGGAAAAUUACAUUUUCUGUGGCUCCUAUGCAUCCCUGUGUUCAUUGGGUUAGGAUGGUACUACAAGACAAAA